GCAUCAACUGGGAGCUGGUUAGAAAUGCAGACCUAGGCCCCACCCCAGGCCUGUAGCAUCAAGAAUCUCUGGAGGUAGGACCCAGAAAUCUGUAUUUUCCAAGCCUUCCUUGGAUGCUCCUAAAAGUUUAAAAAUCACUGCUUUAUACACUUUCUCAACAAAAAUAUGACAUUCAGCAGGGCUGGGAUUCAAAGGGGUGGAUGUUUCCCAGUUAGACCUAGAAACCUAUUGAAAUUGUCUGUUUGGUUGUCUAUUCCUUUGUCUGUCUCUCCAUCUGUCUGCCUUUUUUUCUUUUUUUUCUUUUGUUUUGGUCUUUUUAGGGCUGUACCUGCAGCAUAUGGAGGUUCCCAGGCUAGGGAUCUAAUUGGAGCUGUAGCUGCCGGCCUACACCACAGCCACAGCAAUGUGGGAUCUGAGCUGCAUGUGUGACCUACACCACAGCUCUCGGCAAUGCUGGAUCCUUAACCCACCGAGUGAGGCCAGGGAUCGAACCUGUGUCCUCAUGGAUACUAGUCGGGUUCACCAAUGGCUGAGACAUGAUGGGAACUCCCAUCUGCCUCUUUUGUAUUUGGUAGACAUUCAGUUGCACCUAGAAGUUGAGAUGGGUAAGCUCGCCCCCCCCCCCACUCCCCCGCCCCCGCCCCCUCUAGCUUACCAUGAAGCUCGGCUGUGAGGCUGAGGAGGAGGGCUCCUUGAUUCCCCAGGCAGUGAAGCAAGAUGGUCACUUGUUUAAAUCUGAGCCCGACAAAGCCACCCUAAUGCAAAGUAUAGAAGAGGAAAGUGGAAGGAAGCAAGUUUUAUUUGGCCUCUGUUGUUUUCACAUGUGCUGAGGCAUCUCACCCUCCUGAUCUCCCUUCCUACUGUGUAAUGUUAUUCUCAUUUUAUGGAGGAGGAAACUGAGGCUCAAAGAUGUGGAGAGACUUCACCAAAGCUGUAGAACCUGAAAAUAAUGGUCAGAACAUGAACCCAGCUCCUCCUGUCCCCAGAGGCCAUGCCGUUUCUUUUGUUCUAUGUUUCCAGGAUCUUGGAGGACCUGGGGAUCAACAGCCAGACUUGGAUGCUCAGGAUGAUUUGGGAUGUGCUUCUAACUACCUGUACUGUCUGGAGAAACCUAGAAGCAAGGAAGCUGCCACCAUGAUGCAGCGGGGAGUCCGAGGCCCUGGGAGGUCAUAUGACUCAUUCAAGGUCAUCCUGCUGUGGCAGAGAUGCGAUGAAGCCCUGGCUUUGUGAGUACCUGGUCUAACCUUCUCAUUAUUCUGGAGGAAGCUCUGAGACAAAGGUAGGGUGCAAGAGGCCAGGAGCAAAGGUAGAGGAGGCCUAGGCCUGGUUGGGUCCCGCCCCAACUGACCGUGACUUCCUUUAGCCUCUAUGAAUCUGUCGUGGAGGGAUGAAUCCCUGCUAUGCUCCCUUUUCAGGCUGCUGGGCCACCCAUGGUCAUUGCGGUAAUUUAAGAACACAGCCAUACGUUCUUCAACACUCCUCUUAUUGAGUAACAACCUCUGUGAUCCCUCCCCUUUAGUCUGGGCAGAUUUGUGACUGCUUCACCCUGCAGAGAAUGGCAGAAGAGAUGCCAAGUUAGUAAAGACCAUGCAGCUUUUGCUCACUGGCUCAUGUGCUCCUGGAGCCCUGAGCCACCACAGAGGGUGUAAGAAGAAUCACUGAUCGGGGGCUGCCAUGCUGUAAGGAUGCCCAAGCCACAAGGAGAGUCUGGGUUUAGGCACUCUGGUUAGCAGUCCCAGCUGAGCCCAGCCAUCAAGCCUCUCCUGCUGUUUGAGUUUUCCCAGCUGAGGCCUCAGAUGUCAUGGAGCAGAGACAAAUCUGCCCUGUUAUGCUCGGUCUGAACUCCUGGCCCAUAGAACCUGGGAGCAGGGUCAAUUUCUGGUGAUUUGUUAUGCAGCAAUGUAUAACCAGCACAGCUAUGGCAGCUGGGCUGCACCAGGACUCCUACCCAGACCAUCUUUCCCUCACGGCCCCUGGCCAGUGGCUGGGCUCACACUCUUCAUGCAAAGCAUUGCUCCAAGGGAAGGGUCUGAGACUGGGGCGCUCCAUAGCUCCUGGGGGUUGCAUCUGCUCAGCUGCCUCUUCCCCCUCCUUUCUCAGAAAUAAGUUCUCAAAUCCGGAUCUGCCUCAGGGCCUUGUGUGUGGUUAAAAGUCCUGAUUCCUGCGUUACCUCUUCUUAGCUCUGAGGUCUGGGGCAAGCUACUUAACUCAGUUUCUUUAGUCU
rnacentral:lncRNA from 1 species